rnacentral:misc_RNA from 1 species
CGGGACUACGCGGGUAUCUAAGCCUGUUUGCUCCCCACCCUUUCGCUCCUCAGCGUCAGUUACGGCCCAGAGAUCUGCCUUCGCCAUCGGUGUUCCUCCUGAUAUCUGCGCAUUCCACCGCUACACCAGGAAUUCCAAUCUCCCCUACCGCACUCUAGUCUGCCCGUACCCACUGCAGGCCCGAGGUUGAGCCUCGGGAUUUCACAGCAGACGCGACAAACCGCCUACGAGCUCUUUACGCCCAAUAAUUCCGGAUAACGCUUGCGCCCUACGUAUUACCGCGGCUGCUGGCACGUAGUUAGCCGGCGCUUUUUCUGCAGGUACCGUCACUUUCGCUUCUUCCCUGCUAAAAGAGGUUUACAACCCGAAGGCCGUCAUCCCUCACGCGGCGUUGCUGCAU